AUUGAACGCUGGCGGCAGGCCUAACACAUGCAAGUCGAGCGGCAGCGGGAGAAAGCUUGCUUUCUUGCCGGCGAGCGGCGGACGGGUGAGUAAGGUAUGGGGAUCUGGCCGAAGGCGGGGGAUAACCACUGGAAACGGUGGCUAAUACCGCAUAAUCUCUAAGGAGCAAAGGGGGGGACCUUCUGGCCCCACACCUUCGGAUGAACCCAUGUGAGAUUAGCUAGUAGGUGGGGUAAAAGCUCACCUAGGCGACGAUCUCUAGCUGGUCUGAGAGGAUGAGCAGCCACACUGGGACCGGGAUACGGCCCCGACUCACACGGGAGGCAGCAGUGGGGAAUAUUGCACAAUGGGCGCAAGCCUGCUGCAUCCAUGCCGCGUGUAUGAAGAAGGCCUUCGGGUUGUAAAGUACUUUCAGUCGUGAGGAAGGUGUUAAGGUUAAUAGUCUUAGCAAUGGACGUUAGCGACAGAAGAAGCACCGGCUAACUCCGUGCCAGCAGCAGCCGCCG
rnacentral:rRNA from 1 species